AUUGAACGCUGGCGGCAGGCCUAACACAUGCAAGUCGAACGAGUGGCGGACGGGUGAGUAAUGUCUGGGAAACUGCCCGAUGGAGGGGGAUAACUACUGGAAACGGUAGCUAAUACCGCAUACCAUCGGAUGUGCCCAGAUGGGAUUAGCUAGUAGGUGGGGUAACGGCUCACCUAGGCGACGAUCCCUAGCUGGUCUGAGAGGAUGACCGGCCACACUGGAACUGAGACACGGUCCAGACUCCUACGGGAGGCAGCAGUGGGGAAUAUUGCACAAUGGGCGCAAGCCUGAUGGAGCCAUGCCGCGUGAGUGAAGAAGGCCUUCGGGUUGUAAAGUACUUUCAGCGGGGAAGCGGUACUCGCAGAAGAAGCACCGGCUAACUACGUGCCAGCAGCCGCGGUAAUUC
rnacentral:rRNA from 1 species